CACGACUACAUUAGAUACCCGCGUAGUCCCAGCCGUAAACUAUGCGCGUUAGGUGUAUCGGUGACCACGAGUUACCGAGGUGCCGAAGGGAAACCGUGAAACGUACCGCCUGGGAAGUACGGUCGCAAGGCUGAAACUUAAAGGAAUUGGCGGGGAGCACCACAACAGGUGGAGCCUGCGGUUUAAUUGGACUCAACGCCGGGAAGCUCACCGGAUAGGACAGCAGAAUGAUUGCCGGGCUGAAGACCCUGCAUGACUAGCCG
rnacentral:rRNA from 1 species